rnacentral:rRNA from 1 species
AGAGUUUGAUCAUGGCUCAGGAUGAACGCUGGCGGCGUGCUUAACACAUGCAAGUCGAACGAAGCAAUUUAUCACGAUCCCUUCGGGGUGACUAUUUAUUGACUGAGUGGCGGACGGGUGAGUAACGCGUGGGUAACCUACCCUAUACAGGGGGAUAACAGUUGGAAACGACUGCUAAUACCGCAUAAGCGCACGAGGACCGCAUGGUCUAGUGUGAAAAACUCCGGUGGUAUAGGAUGGACCCGCGUCUGAUUAGCUAGUUGGUGAGGUAACGGCUCACCAAGGCGACGAUCAGUAGCCGACCUGAGAGGGUGACCGGCCACAUUGGGACUGAGACACGGCCCAAACUCCUACGGGAGGCAGCAGUGGGGAAUAUUGCACAAUGGGCGAAAGCCUGAUGCAGCGACGCCGCGUGAGCGAAGAAGUAUUUCGGUAUGUAAAGCUCUAUCAGCAGGGAAGAUAAUGACGGUACCUGACUAAGAAGCACCGGCUAAAUACGUGCCAGCAGCCGCGGUAAUACGUAUGGUGCAAGCGUUAUCCGGAUUUACUGGGUGUAAAGGGAGCGUAGGCGGUUUUACAAGUCUGAUGUGAAAGCCCGGGGCUCAACUCCGGUAUUGCAUUGGAAACUGUAGAACUAGAGUGUCGGAGGGGUAAGUGGAAUUCCUAGUGUAGCGGUGAAAUGCGUAGAUAUUAGGAGGAACACCAGUGGCGAAGGCGGCUUACUGGACGAUUACUGACGCUGAGGCUCGAAAGCGUGGGGAGCAAACAGGAUUAGAUACCCUGAUAGUCCACGCCGUAAACGAUGAAUACUAGGUGUUGGCUUCCAUAGGGAGUCGGUGCCGCAGCUAACGCAAUAAGUAUUCCACCUGGGGAGUACGUUCGCAAGAAUGAAACUCAAAGGAAUUGACGGGGACCCGCACAAGCGGUGGGGCAUGUGGUUUAAUUCGAAGCAACGCGAAGA